GGAAUGACCAAAACCAACUCAAAGCUAGAAUGAAUUCCCUGUGUGGUGGAGACCCAACAAGCCAUUUCAGAGCCAGAUGAAGGAUAUCGGGCAUCUCUUAAAUGAAACCUGAGUCAGAUACCUGCACACAUACCAGUCCCCUCAAUGUGUAUUCAAGAUACUGUUAACUUAUGGCAAAAUUCUUCCAUCAUAGCAGGGUGCAGUUUUGAAUGUAUGCAACUAGACUCCAGACUUUUCCAGUCUUUCCCAGUCUUUCCUGUUCACCUCAAUUUAGCACUAGCUGAUGGCUCCUGCUCUGUGUCAUAUUCUGCUCCCAGGCCAGAGAUGAAGUCACGGUACUGGCUUUAUGAGUUCUUGCAGCUGCACAACAGCCCGAGAGACUCUCACUGCCUUCUGGAGCAAGAAAACGUGCCUGCAGAGCUUCGAGCUACACUCGUCAGUUUCUAAGGCACCAGGGAGCCGCCUUCUUUUGCAGAGGGGACCUUCAUCUUUGUAAAAGUUAGUCUCCAGGCAUCCAGGUCAGUCAGGUGGUCCACUGCCACUCCAGAGCUUUCCUUAAGGCCCCGCCCUACAUGGUUGUCGUGACAAGUUGUCUGGGGCAAAUCUCCUUCAUCAACAACCCUCCUAGGGAGAGGUGGGAAGGAGGAAAGAGACUGGGAAGCAGCGAGUCCAGCAUCACUGGUUGGAAUACUCUAAGUGAUGCAAUGAACUGACAGGUGCCUGGGGACCCUUCAGGAGCUCAACCUCCUAUAAGAGGGGAUCUGGCAGCAGAAACCAACAUCUGUUUUCAUCUGAACUAAAACAAGGAAUCACCAAAAGCUUGACCAAAGGCAGCCCGUGAGGAUGCCCGCGACUCUGCGAAGACGCACUCACUGUCCAAGACCUGGGGGCUGGGAGGUGUUCUCUAACGACAGGAAGAGAGGAAAGAGUGCUGAAGUUUAUGCCAUUUAGUCUGGGCCUCUGGGAACAGAUACACGGAUAGACGAGUGAGCGAGAGAACGAACGAACGAAUGAAUAUGGAAUUAUCCAAAGACUGUCAAGAACAGCCGCUGCUAAAAAAAGAAAAAAAAUGCUGAAAAUAUUUUUAGAUUCAGAAAAAUCAUAUUCUUCUUGGUAAGUGACAAAAAUGGCUUAAAGCUAAAACUAAAACAAAGUUGUGUGAAAGGGCAG
rnacentral:lncRNA from 1 species